AACAUGUAGUCAAUAUUUUGUCAUAUUAGUGUUAAUAUUUACAGAUAAGGGUUGUUUUUGAUCUGGUUGUAGGUCAUCCACUGUUUUUCUGACAUAUACCUCCAGGAGCCAUGCUGAUGAGUGGGGAGCUAAUCCCUUCUUCAGAACACAGCUCAUUUUCAAGUGGCUGCUGCUGUUUCUCCCCCACCCCUUCAGUGCGACAGCCUCAGAGCUGGUGGAAAGGCAGAGCGCAGGCAGCUGGUAAGUAGCUGAGAAAUCUUUUGUAAAAUAGAUCCCCAAAAUACGCUUUGCAAAGUGAACAACAUGUUUUGAUGGAGUAGAAUAAUACAGAACGAUCUAGGAAUCCCUGAUUCUAAUCACCAGUAUUUGGAAAAUGGAUUAAUUAAAUUCUAAAUAUUCCACAGUCACGUUACUAGUUUAAAGCUUGUGUCUUACAUGGUAAGUGGGCCGCCGGAGGGAAAUCUAGAAACGGCCCCUUGUGAUUCUGGUAAGAUAUUUCCCAACAUAUGACUUGAUGAAGUUGUUACCAAGAUGAGAAAUUGUGUUCGGAACAGUAUCUCAGCUUUAUGAUGUUUGGAUGAGGCUUGAGAAAAUGGGUUACGAUUCAAGAUGUUCUCAGAUCUGAGUUCCUGUCCCAGUGUGGAAAGAGUAUGAGAAAACUGUUACUUGGCAAUGGGAAGGAUACCAUGCCUCAUUUUUUUUUUUUUUAAUUAAGAAAAUCAUGUGACUGGAUGUCUGUACAGGAGAGAAAGUGAGGAGGGCAGCCUGUAACGUUCGGCUUAAUUGCUUCAUGUGAGAGACGAACAUGUGUUGAAGGGGAAAGAUUAAAAGUUGGUUUUAGGCUGAAAAAUCGUGAAAAUGAAAUAAUGAAUAUUGUGGCUGUGCCUUUAUUUUGAAAAUCAUCUAUUUGUCCUUGUGGACAUCAAUUUGUACUGUAAAGGCAGAAUAUUCUCAGUGCCUCUUUAUUUCACAAGGGAUGGAAGAAGGAUACCAGAGA
rnacentral:lncRNA from 1 species